AGAGUUUGAUCAUGGCUCAGAUUGAACGCUGGCGGCAUGCCUUACACAUGCAAGUCGAACGGUAACAGGUCUUCGGAUGCUGACGAGUGGCGAACGGGUGAGUAAUACAUCGGAACGUGCCCGAUCGUGGGGGAUAACGAGGCGAAAGCUUUGCUAAUACCGCAUACGAUCUACGGAUGAAAGCGGGGGAUCUUCGGACCUCGCGCGGACGGAGCGGCCGAUGGCAGAUUAGGUAGUUGGUGGGAUAAAAGCUUACCAAGCCGACGAUCUGUAGCUGGUCUGAGAGGAUGAUCAGCCACACUGGGACUGAGACACGGCCCAGACUCCUACGGGAGGCAGCAGUGGGGAAUUUUGGACAAUGGGCGAAAGCCUGAUCCAGCCAUGCCGCGUGCAGGAUGAAGGCCUUCGGGUUGUAAACUGCUUUUGUACGAAACGAAAAGCCUCUUUCUAAUAAAGAGGGGUCAUGACGGUACCGUAAGAAUAAGCACCGGCUAACUACGUGCCAGCAGCCGCGGUAAUACGUAGGGUGCAAGCGUUAAUCGGAAUUACUGGGCGUAAAGCGUGCGCAGGCGGUUUUGUAAGACAGAGGUGAAAUCCCCGGGCUCAACCUGGGAACUGCCUUUGUGACUGCAAGGCUGGAGUGCGGCAGAGGGGGAUGGAAUUCCGCGUGUAGCAGUGAAAUGCGUAGAUAUGCGGAGGAACACCGAUGGCGAAGGCAAUCCCCUGGGCCUGCACUGACGCUCAUGCACGAAAGCGUGGGGAGCAAACAGGAUUAGAUACCCCGGUAGUCCAA
rnacentral:rRNA from 1 species